ensembl:lncRNA
GCAAUAAUUUGAGGCAGAAUUUCAACGGCUUUGCUUUCACUAGUGAUACACACACACACACACAUGCGCGCACACACACACACACGCACUGUGUUUUAAUUUAUUUGUGAAUUUGCACAUCUCUCAGCUUGUUGGUUUCAGUUAUUGCACUUUUAAAACUUGAUGCUUGACACCAGAAGUUAGAAGAUGUAGACAUUGAUGACCACGGAUGAUGGUGGUGAUGAUGAUGAUGACGGUGAUGAUGAUGAUGAUGAAUAUACGAGAUGUGACUGAACGUGAGUAUAUUGUACAGAAUGAACAGAUCACGUGUUCCUAACAGAUCCGGAUAGGAAAAUGACAAGUGCUCUUUAGUUUUUUGGUGGGUUGUAUUUUUUUUUUUUUUUUUUUUUAAUUUCUUAAAAUUUCUUUAUUUGAAUCAUUUACCAAAAAUGUUCACAGGUUGAGACAAAAAGGUGGUGCGGUCCGAUAUAAACCUCGCACGACAAACAAAGACCACGUUCAUUAACACGAACGUUCGCAUAAACGUGAGUCGCACGACGAUGCCUCUCCAGCUUUCCGUCACCUGGUCCGGGUCGUGGUGGUUUAAAUUAACCUGCGAGAUUUUUUCAUUCUGGGAAACAGAACUGUAUGAAUUUGUGAGAAAGCUACAAAACCCCUGAACAAACUUUUACACACAAAAAUCAUCAUUAAAACAGUAAAUGAUCUGGUGCACACACACACACACACACACACACACACACACACACACACACACACACACACACACAAUAAAUUAAUUUUGAAAGAAAAGCACUUCGUCACAUUUCUCCUGCUGCGGCUUUUUACAGCGUUUACAGUGACAGGAUUUAGAGUAUUUACAGUGGUAGCAUUUAUAUUUCAUUUAAAUAAAAAAUCAUCUGCUGUAAGCCACACCCACCAUGGGUUUAAAUCCAAAUAAAGAUACAGACACACGCAGUGGCACUGUGUUACACUCCUGUUACUGAUGAUGAUGAGGAAUGCCGUUUUCCUCUCCUUGAGAAUGAAAGCUUUUUUAUUUGUAUUUUUUUAUAAAUAGAAAAGAUCAGAUUUAAUAUUUAUACCAUUCCCAUCUUACUGGAAAACAGGUUUCUUUCCUUUAACACGUAUUCGAGUUCAGUUCCUCACUCCUUUACUUCGACACCGCCUUCUGCUCAUCCAUUUCGUUAUUUUAUGUAUUUUAUCCCGUCUUCCAAAUUCUGUGCACUUUUUGUUCUUGUUGUUUAUGCAGCUUUUUGUUUGCGGCGCGUAUACGGUAGCAUACGACUUCCUGUUUGUAAAAACUAUGUACAAAGAAAUGUAGUAAGUAUUAUAAUAUAUUGUUAGUGAUUGUAGCUGCAGUCAUGUACUUUUACUCCGUUCUCGUUAUGAUUUAAAAAUGUUAUACUUUUUUUUUUUUAAACCCAUAUAAUUAUUAAACUUAAACACAUUAUUCUUAACAAGGUGUUUCAGUUUCUGCUCCAACCUUGACUUGGGAGAACUGUGUGACGGGAACCCGUCCUGUUCCGGAGUGUACUCGAGUCCAACUUGAUUAUUUUUCCCGGGUUGUCUUUUUUUAAAGUCAUGUUAUUACAGCUUCAUCGCGUUGCGUGUAUGAGUCUGGGUUAUAGUGUACCUGGGGGAAAAAAGAUCAAUAAAGUUGGACUUGUAUCUGUGUAAACAUGUAAAUGAAAUGCUGAAAUAUACAGCUGCAGUCAAAAGUAUUCACCCCCCCAGUGCAAAUCAGGUUUAUUGUCAGAAUGUACAGACUUUCAGCUGUUUGCGAUGAACAAAUCAAACAAAAGUGAUUGAAACAGUUCGACACAACGAAGCGGUUUCCCCAAAUUCAACUGAAAAUGCAACUUAUAAGGAUUUCUCCAGUCUCAAAAUUAUUCACCCCCUUCAGGGCGAGCAUCUUUAGUACUUAGUAGAGCUUCUCUUGCUGUUAUGACCUGCUGUAAACGAGAUGCAGAGCUUCUGCAGCGUUCCUGAGGAAUCUUCUCCCGUUCCUCAUGAGCACUGGCCUCCAGGUCAGUAAUAUUCUUGGGUUUGCGUGCUGCGACCGCCUUCUUCAAAUCCCACCAGAGAAGUCAGGUGACUGUGAUGGCCCUGUAGAAUCUUCCAGGACUUCUUCUGCACCCGAGCCUUGGUGGAAUUUGAGGUACGCUCGGGAUCGUCGUCCUGUUUGAAGGUCCGAUGACGGCCAAGCUUCAGCUUCCUCACAGACGGCAUGAGGUUUUCUCCUGGGGUUUCCUGAUACCUCACUGAAUCCAUCUCACCUUCCACACGCUGCAGGUCUCCAGUGCCAGAGGAGGCAGAGCAGCCGCAGAGCAUCACCGAGCCUCCACCAUGCUCGACUGUGGACAGAGUGUUCUUUCUCCAUUCUUCUUCCUCCAGACGUACCGCUGAUCCAUCGUGCUGAAAAGUUCCAGUUUAGUUUCAUCGCUCCGCAGAACUGAAUCCCAAAACUCCUGUGGAUUGUUUAUAUGAUUCUGAGCGACUGUUCUUGUGCUUUUGGGUCAGUAGUGCUGAACGUCUUGGAGUUCUGGCAUUGAAACCUUCUGAGUUUAGUACACGCCUUACUGUGCUCACUGACAUCCUCAGUGUCUGUUACACCGAGUCUCGCUGCAGGUCUUUUACAGUCACUCGAGGGUUUUUCACAACCUGCCUUCUCACAAAGCUGCUUGCAGCCGUCGAUAGUUUCCUUUUUCUGCCCCGUCCAGGUAUCUCAUACAGGUAUUUCUGCCCCGAGCCAGUUCAGGUAUUUCAUGUGUUCCAGCUCAAGCACACCUGCUGCUUGAGACAACAGCCGUUUUACAUAUUUGUGCUGUUGUGGGGGAUUCAGUUCAGUGGGUUGAAUAAUUUUGAAACUGGUGAAGUCAUUGUAUAUUAUUUAUAGUUUUUUAUUUAAUUAUAUAUUGAGUCGCGUUUUCAGUUGGAUUUGGGGAAACCGCUUGAAGCAUCCGUUGUGUCGAACUGUUUCAAUCGCUUUUGUUUGCUUUGUUCAUCGCAAACAGCUGAAAGUCUGUACAUUCUGACAAUAAACCUGAUUUGCACUGGGGGGUGAAUACUUUUAAUUGCAACUGUAUAUAAAAAUAAUACUAUCAAGGGGAAGAAUAUAAUCUGGUUCAGUAUUGUAAAGUAUCUUCUGCCUUCAGCUCUGUGUGUUUGUAUUGUAAAAUGAGUCUGAU